UGGUUUCUGACUGGUCGAUCUUAAAGUUUGUUUUACCAUUUACAUUGAGUUGGGUUUCAGUUUGCUUACACAGGAACACAAAUUGCUGGAACCAUCUCAGCCUAAUGGCCUCCCAAGUAAUUUUUUUUUCUCAGAAGCAGUGAUCCCUUUAUCAUUAUGUGAUCCACCUUUAUCCCUGAUAAUAUUUCUUUUUUUCUCUCUUUUCUUUUUUUUUUUUUUUUUUUUUUUGAGAUGGAGUUUCACUCUUGUUGCCCAGGCUGGAGUGCAACGGUGCAAUCUCGGCUCACUGCAACCUCCACCUCCCAGGUUCUCUCAAGCCAUUCUCCUGCCUCAGCCUCCCACGUAGCUGGAAUUACAGGAGCCCACCACCAUGCCCAGCUAACUUUUGUAUUUUUAGUAGAGAUGGGGUUUCGCCAUGUUGACGAGGCUGGUCUCGAACUCCUGACCUAAGAGGAAAAGGCGGUGUGAAGACAGAACAGAGAUAUUUAAAGAUGCUGGCCUUAAAGAUUGGAUUGAUUCAGCCCCAAGCCAAAGAAUCCUGGAAACCACCAGAAGUUGAAAGAGCCAAGGACAAAAUUCUCCCCUACAGCUUCAGGAAGGGGAAUGGUCCUUCUUUGAUUCUGGCCUGUGAUCCUGAUUCAGCCUUCUGCCUUCCAGAACUGUGAAAGACUAAAUCUGUUGUUUUAAAUCACCACAUUUUUGGUGAUUUGUUACAGCAGCCAGAGGGUAAUAAUAACAUCUAGGUUUCUUUUUCCUGUUGGUGUUUUCUGAAAUUCUUGGAACUGUGAUUUGGUGUCUGUCACUAAUUUUGGAAAAUGCUCAGCCAUUAUUUAAUUAUUUCUUCAAAUAUUUUCUUCUGCUCUGUUCUCUCUUCCCUUCUGGAAUUUCAUUACAAAUGUGUUAGACCAUUUGAUAUUGUCUCAUAGCUCUUGGAUCUUCUGUUUUUGUCCUCUCUUUUAUCUCUUUGUGUUUCAGUUGAGGUAAUUUCUGUUGACAUGUUAUGAAGAUCACUGAUUAUAUCUUUGUGUGUUGAGUCUACUGAUGACCCCUUUGAAGGCAUUCUUCACCCUUGUCACUGUGUUUUUCAUUUGUAGCAUUUCUAUUUUGUUUUUUCUUAUAGUCACUAUCUUCCUGCUAUAAUUAACUACCUAUUCUUUCAUGUUAUCUAUCUUUUCAUUUAGAGCCUUUAAUAUAUUACUCAUCGUAAAUUGCCUACUAGUUUCAGCAUCGGUGUCAUAAUUGAGACUGCUUCUGAUGGUUGCUUUGACUCCUCAGACUGUUUUUUCUUUCCUUGUUGUAUUCCUCUAAAUUUUUUGUUGAAACAUAGACACACAAGACAAUAGGCACUAAGAUUUUUUUUUUUUUAUGACUGGAGAUGAGCAUGCCUUUCCUUCUGCUAUGCCUUUAAUGUGAGAGUUUGUAAUAAUAUAAUAAGAAAAUGGGCUGAGUUUGAGGUUUGCUUUCCACUUGGCUUUGGGUCUUCUCUUUGUCAUGCUCCCCAAAGAGAAUUUUUCUUCUGCAGCCUCCCCAGUUCAUUCCACUGCUAGUUUUACUUGACACCUGCUAGUGUGGCAGUGGAGGUAUGGGGGAUGGAAACGUUAUCUAAUGUUCUGACUAAGCCUCAGUCUUAGGCAAAUUCUAUGAAACUAGGUCAAAGCUUGUGUUUCUUUUCACAAGUAUUCCUUUCCCCCCUCCAGACAUAAUGCUAGGCCAAGCAUGCGUUCCCUUUUCACCCCAGGAGCAGAAGUAUUUUUGUUUUUUUCCUGGCUUCCUCAGGGUUCUCCCCAUCUCCCCUGUGUCCAUCUACGAGGUUUCUGUAGGAAAAUCUUAAAAGAAGGUGUGAACUUUUCUGUGUCUGCUUUCCCCAAGGGCUUUAUACUCUUACACUAGCUGACACCAGGCAUUUAACAAUUUGACUUUUUAAAAUUCUAGUUAAAUUCUCUUUCUGGCUUAAUUGGCUUUUGGCAGCCUCUGUGCCAGGUAAACAAAGGCUAGUAUCCCAUUUCUCCCUGCAGACACCAGUUUCUCUCUAGGGUUCAGGUUGGUUGUUUGCCCUGUGACUUCGGUUUUCUCAUGUGUUCAAAAGAAGUCAUUAAUUUUAUUCCUUUUUUUGUUCUUGUUGUUUAAAGGGCAGGAGCAAUGUCUUUUCCAACUUUCUACAUCUCCAAGCUGAAACUAGUGGUUGAAAUUUUUCAUAUCUUGAUUCAGGGACCUAGACUUCUUUCUCUUGUAGCUUUCCUAUCCACUAGGGCUUGCAUAUGAUUAUUUAUACUCAUAGUUGACUUUUACUUAGAAUAAACUAGUAGAUGUUAAAUUGCUGGGUGUUGCUGUGUGCAUUCUCCAGGAAGCAGACUCUAAGACAGAGAUUAGUAUUCAGCAAGUUUUUUUUAAGGACAUACUCUUAGGAUUAAAACCGCUGGAAAGGAAGGGAAGAAGGCAGGAUUGGACAAGACAGAAGUUCAGCUGAGAUAGAAUCUCAACAAAGGGUCGGUUGAUCCCAUGGAAAGCUCUGGAGCAGAGAGAGCUCUGAAGAGUUGUCCUGUAUGCAGUGAGGAAGCUGAACUUUUAUGUCUUCUCAUCAGUCAGUCAUUGAAUGAGGGUAUAUCCAAAGGAAUACCUUGUCAAGGCAAGAGUCUCCAGCUGAGGACAAUUUCUUAAGAGGACUGAGAGCUGAGGACUAUUAUCUGGUAGCACUGGAGGAAUAAGUCUUGAAGGGGAUCUGGGCAAUGCAUCACAGCUUCCACUACAUUGAGUCAAAGAAUAUGAAUAUUUUAAGGCUCUUGAUAGGUAUUGUGAAAUUAUUCUUCACAAAAGUUGCUCUAGAAAAGGUGUACUUAAGUACUCUUGUACUUAGUUUUCUCAUUGGUAAUGUAGAAAUAAUUUUAACAAUUUGCCUCACAGAGUUAUUGAGAGAAUUAAAUGAGUCAAUAUUUAUGGUAUGCUUAGAACAGUGCCUAGUAUAUAUUAAACACCAAAUGCUUCUUAGCUAUCAUAAUUAUUGCUAUCAUUUUGCACUGAUACCAGAAGUACAUAAAAUUGCCUAUUUAUUUGCACUAUAGCCACCUAUGGGUAUUUUCAUUAAAACUAGAAAUUUCCAAUUUGAAAUAUGUCAUGAUGUUUUAUUGACCACUUAUAUUUCUUCUUUUGUAGAUUAUUUUCUGAUCCCCUUUGCCUAUUUUCUAUUAGAAUG
rnacentral:lncRNA from 1 species